ACUAACCUUAACCCUCACCUAAUUGUAACCCUAGACCUAAUUCAUAUAUAUAUAUAUAUAUAUAUAUAUAUAUAAAAUUAGGAAUUAGUUCCAGGGUUACAAUUAGGUGAAGGUUAAGGUUAGU
rnacentral:miRNA from 1 species